rnacentral:rRNA from 1 species
CAGCAGCCGCGGUAAUACGUAGGGUCCGAGCGUUGUCCGGAAUUAUUGGGCGUAAAGGGCUCGUAGGCGGUUUGUUGCGUCGGGAGUGAAAACCCAGGGCUUAACUUUGGGCUUGCUUUCGAUACGGGCAGACUUGAGGCAUUGAGGGGAGAACGGAAUUCCUGGUGUAGCGGUGAAAUGCGCAGAUAUCAGGAGGAACACCGGUGGCGAAGGCGGUUCUCUGGCAAUGUUCUGACGCUGAGGAGCGAAAGUGUGGGGAGCGAACAGGAUUAGAGACCCCUGUAGUCCCUGUCUCUUAUAA